CUCCUCGGGGUCCCUGAAGAUGAAGAAUUCUGGGGAUCCUUUCCUGAGCCUGGAGCCCCUGGGCCCCUUCCAGAGCCCUCCCAGUGUGCAGGUGGGUUUCCUGCAGCAGCCGGGGAGCCUGGAGCCCCUCCUGGGCCGUUCUUUGUUCUCCACGCAGCCCCUCGAGGCCAAUGGCAGCUGGCCGGACGCCGCCACCCCCUCGUCCAUCACCGACCCGGGCAGCGACGCCUCCAAUUAAAGAAUUCAAACUUCUUUAAUUUUUAAUUCAAGGACCUUUUUGAGAGAGGACAGAGGUCAAUUAACGCUAAUUAAUCCCGGGCCGAUAGAAUGAUUGACUUCCAAUUAAUGAAUUACCUCAGAACGAGCCAAUAGAUUGUGAUGGCAGCCACACCUCUACCUCUCAAUUAUUUAUAACUUCACUUCGCCUCAGAAAAUUCCAUGUUUUUAAGGAAAAACUUUGGAUUUUACACAAAGAACCUGAAGAAGAAGGGGAAAAACAAAAGUCUUGGCGUUUUUCUCCAGUUUUACAGUGGAAAAAAAUGGAUUUAUUUUAUUUUUUGUCUGGUUUUUUACGCUGGGAUUUUGGUUCUAGGUGAGUUAAACCCCUCCUAUUGUAAUUGGAUGUUCUCUGUAUUGGAAUUUUCUACAGGGAAUUUCUGUAGGAAAUUCUAGAGAGAAUUCUAUAAGAAAUUUUUCUUAAUUAAUUGAGCCAAUUAAUGGAAAAGUCGCUUCACCAAACUUCUCACUGGACAUUGCUCGCAGGCCGGACCUUCCACUGGUGUCAUUCCAAGGGAUUUCAGAUUGGGAAAUUCCACAGCAUCACUUUUUCUGAUGGAAAAAGUGCAAAAAUAAAAUUAAAACCCCAAAUUUACCACAAAACGGCCAAACCACGGGAUUUCCCUAUGGGAAUUCGAGGGGGUUUGUGCCGUUCUGGUGCUGCUCUCAGAGUCCGCCCCUUUCAGGUGAGAUUUCAUCCAAGAAAAUAAAUUUCCAAAGCCUU